rnacentral:lncRNA from 1 species
AGCUUUGUAGGUGAAGCUUUGGUGUUGAAGCUUUCUAGGUGAAGCUUUGAUGGUGAAGCUUUGUAGAUGAAGCUUUGUAGAUGAAGCUUUCUAGGUGAAGCUUUGAUGGUGAAAGCUUUGAUGGUGAAAGUAUGUAGAGGGAGCUUUCUAGGUGAAGAUUUUUUAGGUGAAGCUUUGUAGGUGAAGCUUUUUUAAGUGAAGCUUUUCGGGUGAAGCUUUUUAGGUGAAGCUUUGUGGGUGAAGCUUUUUAGGUGAAGCUUUGUGGGUGAAGCUUUGUGGGUGAAGCUUUUUAGGUGAAGCUUUUCGGGUGAAGCUUUUUGGGUGAAGCUUUUUAGGUGAAGCUUUGGAGGUGAAGCUUUUCGGGUGAAGCUUUUUGGAUGAAGCUGUUUUUUUUUUUUUUUUUUUUUUUUUUUUUUUUUUUUUUUUGGCGCUUGACACGGUCUUCAGUUGCUUGUUUUGUAGUGACUGUGGAAGACGGAUUG